AAAAACAUCGCCUCUUGAUUUACACAUAAGAGGUCCUGCCUGCCCAGUGACUUAAUGUUCAACGGCCGCGGUAUUUUGACCGUGUGAAGGUAGCGUAAUCAUUUGUCUCUUAAAUGGAGACCUGUAUGAAUGGCACAACGAGGGCUUAACUGUCUCACUCUUCCAGUCAAUGAAAUUGAUCUCUCCGUGCAGAAGCGGAGAUAUAAACAUAAGACGAAAAGACCCUGUGGAGCUUUAGAUUACAGAACACCCCCCCCCACCCUGCUGGCCUCUGUUCAUGUAUCUUCGGUUGGGGCGACCACGGAGAAAAUUCAUCCUCCACGCUGUACAAAGCACUAAACUUUUAUAACUAAGAGCGACAGCUCUAAGCACCAGAAUCUCUGACCUUUAAGACCCGGCUUUAUAGCCGAGCAACGAAUCAAGUUACCCCAGGGAUAACAGCGCAAUCCCUUUUUAGAGUCCCUAUCGACAAAGGGGUUUACGACCUCGAUGUUGGAUCAGGACAUCCUAAUGGCGCAGCCGCUAUUAAUGGUUCGUUUGUUCAACGAUUAAAGUCCUACGUGAUGUUU
rnacentral:rRNA from 1 species